GCAAAAUAGCAAAUCUUCCCUUAUAAGAAGGACCAAUGUAAAAUGUAAUAGUAGAAAAGUAGAAAAGUGAACCUUCUGGUUGUUCUGCGAUGAAGCGUUUAUUAAUCCAUUUAUUGAUCCAUUAAUUGAUAAAUAAAAUAUGUUUAAUGUUUUGCAUCGAAGCAAUUUAAUGUUGUAUCAUAUGACAAAAGAAUUCCUAUAAAAAUUAAAAAGUUAAUAUUAUGGCCAUUAAUACAAAAUUUUUAAUUUGAACCUACUAACAAAGUUUUACUGUUUUAACAUUGGUACUUUAUCCUUAUGUAAUAUGUUUUGGACAAAAAUGAUGACUAAAGCAAAAAAACUUCUGAACUUAGUAUCAAAUUACAAUAAUAUAAAAACCAAAUUCUGAACCUUCAAAUAGUCAAAUUUAGAAGAGUAAAUUACAAACAAUAAUUCAGAACAAAUAAAUUGAAGUCUUUGUUGAGUCCGAUGAAGUUUAUGAACCAAGUAUAGUCAUUAGUCGUUGAUUACAGGAAACUUUUAGUAUUUGAUGAGGAAAAUAACAAAACAUUUUUAUCUGGAUCAGAAAAUAUGGAUAUUGAAGAUGAAUUUGAACAUCAAAUGAAAAAAAAUGGUCUAGAUUUGUAAGAAAAGAGAGAAAAUUAAAUUUACAUAAAGGAUUACUAUUUGUUAGCUCUUAUGAUUCAAAUAAAAAUUGCAGAAGUAACAAGUGAUGAAUACAACUUGAUGACUUCAAAAAAUGGUCUCAAUUUACAUCAGUCUGCUGCUAAUCUGACAUAUUCAAUGAAAAAUUUAAUACUGCUAUUUAUCAUCUCCACAACUGGUAUAAACUUGUUAAAGAAAUAGGAAAGAUUUAAUGGCUUCAAAAUGAACUAAUGAGGAAUCAUGUAUUGUAUACAUUUUCAAAACAUAGAUAAUAAUUAU